rnacentral:rRNA from 1 species
CGUCCGUAGCCGGCCUAUCAAGUCUCUGGUUAAACCUCAAGGCUCAACCUUGAGAUGCUGGAGAUACUGUUAGGCUAGGGGGCGGGAGAGGUUGAGGGUACUACGCGGGUAGGGGCGAAAUCCUAUAAUCCGCGUAGGACCACCAGUGGCGAAGGCGCUCAACUGGAACGCGCCCGACGGUGAGGGACGAAAGCCAGGGGAGCAAAGGGGAUUAGAUACCCCCGUAGUCCUGGCUGUAAACGAUGCGGGCUAGGUGUUGGGUUGGCUUCGUGCCAACCCGGUGCCGCAGUGAAGACGAUAAGCCCGCCGCCUGGGAAGUACGGCUGCAAGGCUGAAACUUAAAGGAAUUGGCGGGGGAGCACCACAAGGGGUGAAGCCUGCGGUUUAAUUGGAGUCAACGCCGGGAAUCUUACCGGGAGCGACAGCAGGAUGAAGGCCAAGCUGACGACUUUGCUAGAUGGGCUGAGAGGAGGUGCAUGGCAGUCG